CUGGGGACUAGCAGCCUUGAUAUCAUCCAACAUUGAGCAUAUGUGGGGUGUCAGCCUCACACCAGGACUGAUAUAUAUUGAUCCUGACAAUUGUCUCAUCCCUGGCUCUUAUUGUGCUCGUAAUGAUCUGAGGAUUCUUUGUCUCCAUUGUAAGUGGCAAAUUAUGACACCUUCUGUGCUGAAACUGCUGAGUUGCUGGCAGAUUGUUUCUGAGAUAAAAUACUCCUGAGAGCAAAAUGGCAGCUAGUUAGAGCUGCAUGGAACAAUAUAAUGUCAAAUCUGAGGACUUGUAAUGGGUUCAGACAGCACCUACAACAAUGAACCUGUUAGAAAAAAAAAAUGACAGUGAGAAUUGACUCUGGAUGCAUCAAAUGAUAUUCAGAUGGAGACUCCCAUAAAAUGCAGAUUCCUUCAGAAAAAAGACAUCUAGAAGUGUCCACUGGAAUUUUUUUU
rnacentral:lncRNA from 1 species